AGUGAGYAACAGCAUGAGAAGAAUCAAGAUGCCGGCCCCUCUGAGGGUCAGAAUCCUAACAAUUGCCAUCCUCACCAACCUCUAACGAUCCCACAACAAUGUAAAGAAGACCAAUCUGGCACGAAGACAGAGGUGUAUUAUGAAAACCAUUUUCUUCCUUGGAAAUGGAACAUCACAGCCUUAAUUCAGAACAACCACGUGGAAUCAACUGUGCCUGUAAAUAGCACGGUGGUCCCAUUUCAGGCUGGGGUGGCGGCUGUGAAUAUACCUCCUCAUCUAGGCUUCAUCUCAAUAGGAUCAUCUCCAGACUGUGUCCAGGCAGCUCUACCUCAUACCGACGGCUCUUCCUCACAGCAUUCACCUCAACACCAGCUUCUUCAAUGAUGCAGUCAUAACAUCAGGUAUGAAAAGCUCCAGUAGCCUUGGAAGAAGAGAUUCAGUGAAGGAAGAGGCUGCUUUUGAAACUAUUUCUGCUGCUUUUAAGAUGUAUGUAUAUGUAUGUAUGUAUAUAUGUGUGUGUGUGUGUGGUAG